ACGAGGCAUUUUUUCUCGGGUCAAAGGAGAGCUUGGUUUGAAAGUAUUUGUUACUGAUAAUCCUUCAAUAAGAUCCUCAAACCCACUUCCUGCAAUGGACUCCUCUCUGUCUGCAGAUUCACGUUCAACCCAAGCUCAAGCACCAGAACAACAGAUUCCAAAUUCAGUUCCAAAACUGUUCUCCAGUGGCAAGAAUGAGUCAAGGCAUACAUUUCAUCACCUUCCAAACACUAGCCAGCCAAUGCCAC
rnacentral:misc_RNA from 1 species